GCUAGAAAAAGAAAGCUAAAGCAAAAAGCAGGUAUCGGUGGAUUUGUGUGCCAAACUCAGACCAAAACAUUUUGUCUCCUAAAUAAGAAUCAUUGAAAUGAUAGCUGCAAAUUACAGUCCUCUGCUUGGUUCACACCUUCUUUCCCUUGAAAGUGGGCAUUAUUAAGACUGCUGAAUACUGUCACAAAACAAGCCUUCCAAUCCCUGCUAUGUCAUUUUUUUCAGGGAUAUUUGCACUGCUGACCUGAAUUCGAAGUACCGAACUAUGAAAUAAGCGCCAAUGUUUGCAUCAUUCAUGGGUUCCUUUGCAUGGGAUAGUAGUACCGAUUUUGUCGAUCGCAGACAGAUAAGAUUUACAUGGUAGCAACCUGAAACCUGAUUGGGCAAAAGAUAUAACAAUUUCCAACUAUUAUCCGAGCCACUUACCCUUACGAGGUUCGCUGGCGUGCCCGCAGACAUCUCAGCUGUCUGCGGGCAGUAGGUGGUGUACACCCAUAACAUGGUUGCCAGCCAAUUGCAGGACACAAAUAGA